GGAAAGGACAUGAGGAUCCUUCUAGACAACUUUGAUGAACAGACAACUGAUGUGCUUGCCCACAGAAAGUCUACAGCUCUAUGGGGUCUACCGUUCUUUGAUGGAGAAGCCGGACGGCUUUCUGAAGAAAUAUCUGACCCGGAGGAAUUUUGUGUCAAGGGAGUUGAACUUGGAAUACUCAGUUGUUGAAGAUGGCGUUGGGA